rnacentral:lncRNA from 1 species
ACUCAAUCUGCUGCAUGACCUACUCUUUGGUUAUAAUGGGAUUUCUGACUUUAGUAGUUACUGCACCUUUUUGUCUUUUUAGUGCUCAAGCCCGCAGAUAACAUCCAGUGAUGCUAGUUUGCAGAGAGACAAUACUACAAGUUCCUUUCUUUAGAUUUAUGCAGUAGCCAUGUUUGUCAAAGUAUUUGGCACCGGUGACAUCAUCUUUGUUGAAAUGCCGGACAGCGUGAUGAGUCCCAGAUGUUAACACACACCAAAAGCAGAGAAAGAAUAAAAUCCAAAGAUAACUAUAACAGCUAUGGAGCUACUGCCAUCAGCAACAGUAGUGACAGCAGUCUCAGCCUGGAGCGCUACAUGGGGUCACAAGCCACCAUUGCAGACACUUGCGUAUGACUUGUGGUAUGUGGAUUGCAACUUGGGAAUGCCUGUGUUGGAGCUCUUAAUCCAUUUAAAUACAACUGUG